rnacentral:pre_miRNA from 1 species
AGGAGGAACAGCCCCAGUGGCGGGGCAGCUCUGGCAACCUGGAUGCAGCUCCGGCAGGAACUCCGUCUGCAGGGCCUGGAGGCUCCGGGCGGGG